AACAUCGCGCACCUGCGGGAACCUGCGGAAGGAUCAUUACCGAGUGUGAACCCCCCCGUAAAAAAGAGGGGUUACCUCCCGUCCUUUGCUGGGAACCCCUUUCCAACUUGGAAGGAGGUUGUUUUCAGACCCUUCUGCUUCGGUGGGGUAACCCACCGGAACAACCUCAAAAAUAUUCUCAAUUCAAAACCGUUCAGUCCGAGAACUUUUUUGAAAAGCGAAAAAACUUUCAACAAUGGA
rnacentral:misc_RNA from 1 species